GAUGAACGCUGGCGGCGUGCCUAAUACAUGCAAGUCGAGCGAACAGAUAAGGAGCUUGCUCCUUUGACGUUAGCGGCGGACGGGUGAGUAACACGUGGGUAACCUACCUAUAAGACUGGGAUAACUUCGGGAAACCGGAGCUAAUACCGGAUAACAUUUGGAACCGCAUGGUUCUAAAGUGAAAGAUGGUUUUGCUAUCACUUAUAGAUGGACCCGCGCCGUAUUAGCUAGUUGGUAAGGUAACGGCUUACCAAGGCAACGAUACGUAGCCGACCUGAGAGGGUGAUCGGCCACACUGGAACUGAGACACGGUCCAGACUCCUACGGGAGGCAGCAGUAGGGAAUCUUCCGCAAUGGGCGAAAGCCUGGCGGAGCAACGCCGCGUGAGUGAUGAAGGGUUUCGGCUCGUAAAACUCUGUUAUUAGGGAAGAACAAACGUGUAAGUAACUGUGCACGUCUUGACGGUACCUAAUCAGAAAGCCACGGCUAACUACGUG
rnacentral:rRNA from 1 species